GUGAACACAUUUGAAGUCAGCAGGAGACCGUUAGAAACCUCCCCUCCGCUGAGGAGCCUUGCAAACCUCUGCUCACCAGAGCACGCUCAUCAGCUGCGCUGGUGGCAACGAUCUCAUCGUGCGAAUAGAAACUGACCUUCCAAGCUCUGGGACCGUGGGUACGAUGGGAGGACCUCACACAGAGAGCGGAUCUGGAUGUUGCCUUCAGGCUACGAGUCUGACGUCUGGGCUAGGACUCCACAAACACUGUGAGCAUCGCUGAUUUAGGUGUCUGGACUUUGUCCCGACUUUCAACCUGGGCUACGAGUUCCAACUGGCUGGUCUCACGAGACAAUCCUUCUCUGUCACACACUGCUUGCCUGCAUACCUUACUGCUUGCUCUUCAGAGAGUUGUUCUGACUUCCCUGGGUCACUGUCUGGUCAUUGCAACCUGGAGAUUUAGUUAAAUGUUUCAACAUUGACUUCAGUCACUCCCGGGGCUGACAAAUCCCAGACCACCCGUUCUUGAAGGCCAUCACUCAUCUCCAAAUCUUGUUGAAAUGAAUUAUGUGACUCUUCACAGCUGUCACACCUCGCUACCUAUCUGUUUAAGCACCAUCUUUCUGCGUGGUGGAGUUCCUUGCAUGGCUGCCCUGUGCCCAUAGUAGUAGGUCUAUUCUCUCCUAGCUCCAGAACUGACCGCCUCUUUCUACUCCAGCAUCAAAACCCAAACUCAGAAGUGUUGUUCUUACUUUUUCUGGGGUCAUCACCUGUAAACAAGGGCUUUCUCUACUCGGGCAUCUUUGUUCAUCUCGGUGGCUGCUUUGUCUUAGUUUCAAGACAGAUCUUACUUCCCUGGGUUAUUUUCUGAUGUCUUAAACUAGUUUUAAUCCAGGGUGCAAGUUACUGAUAAGAUGGGAGCCAGUUACAGAUCAGUAACUGAAUUAGGUCUCCUGUCUGCCUUUUGUGUUACGGAAAUGGGAGUGUUGGUUUUCCUCUAGAGAAGUUGACAUCUAAGUGGAUUCUCAUAGGCCAUUCACUGAGAAUAUCCUCUUAGUAGUAGGAAAAAAAUAAUUGGUAGGAAACAACAACUUUGACACUCUUGGACUUUCUACUGUAGCGUAGAACAGAUGUAUCACCACGGGAGAUGAUGCUAGGGACCAGGAUAUAAACAGAACCGAGAUGAGAAAGACACGGAGCUGGUAGCUCACUUGUUUACGUCAACUUCUAUGACCUGCAGGCUUGGGGGAGGGUCCUGCAAGGAUGCACAAAAAAUAAAUUUGUAUUAUUAGUAUUCCUGCAUUCCCGAGUAAUGUUUUUGCCCGAGGUUAGAAACAUUAGGGAAAAUCAAAGAAAUCGCUGACUUGGGAAGAUUCCUGAGGCACAAAGACCUGGUCUGGAAUGAUGAAAACAUGUAUGCCUCCUCGGGCAGCAAGCAAGAGAUGCGGCGCUGGAUGCCAGGGAUAUUCUCAUGUGUGACACCUGGGUAGUUGCUCCGUUUCUAGUUAGAAUAAAUUCACCCUGUCUUCUAAGGAGUUCUUCAACUGUUAAUCUUGUCACAUGACUGACAAAGAGGACCGGGAGAACAAUGCUUAAGCAUUGCUCUGGGGGUUGGGUGGUUCAUUUCCCUGGGGUCAGGAGCUAAAUGGGGUAACACAGCAAGCAUAUAUUGAAUGGAUAUCCUAGGUAAGCUGCCCGGUUUUCCUAUUCCUCAAUUUUCCAAUCUGUAAAAUGGAGACCUAGGCACCUAAUACAGAUACCAUGAUGAGUUUAGUCCAAGUGAAGGGUCUGUGUGUCCGGUAAGGAUAAGCAUUUAGUAUGCAAGGUGAUCUGAGCAAUAUUUACCUAAGGAUGUUACCAUAGAAGGAUACUGUUUACUGGGUGGCUUCCCCUGGCUUGCUCAGCUUGCUUUCUUAUAGAAUCCGACUCCCAGCCCAGGGAUGGCACCACCCGCUAUAGGCC
rnacentral:lncRNA from 1 species